UACGGAGGGUGCGAGCGUUGUCCGGAAUCAUUGGGCGUAAAGGGCGCGUAGGUGGCCCGGUCAGUCGAUGGUGAAAGCGCGGGGCUCAACUCCGCGUCGGCCGUCGAUACUGCUGGGCUUGAGCACUGUAGAGGCAGGCGGAAUUCCGGGUGUAGCGGUGGAAUGCGUAGAGAUCCGGAGGAACACCGGUGGCGAAGGCGGCUUUCUGGACAGAUACCGACGCUGAGGCACGAAAGCUAGGGGAGCAAACAGG
rnacentral:rRNA from 1 species